rfam:Ornithorhynchus anatinus chromosome 4, whole genome shotgun sequence.
AGCAGCGUGGCUCAGUGGAAAGAGCCCGGGCUUGGAAGUCAGUGGUCAUGGGUUCUAAUCCCAGCUCUGCCA